rfam:Triticum urartu cultivar G1812 contig431144, whole genome shotgun sequence.
UGUAUACUCUCUCUGUUCGCAAAUACUUGUCGGAGAAAUGAAUAAAAGUGAAUGCGUCUAUAAGUAAAAUACGUCUAGCUACAUCCAUUUCUCCGACAAGUAUUUCCGGACGGAGGGAGUACUUA